rnacentral:rRNA from 1 species
UGGGGAAUCUUCCGCAAUGGACGAAAGUCUGACGGAGCAACGCCGCGUGAGUGAAGAAGGUUUUCGGAUCGUAAAACUCUGUCUUUUGGGGCGAACGUGAGUAUGGUGAACAAUCAUAGUCAGUGACGGUACCAAAGGAGGAAGCCACGGCUAACUACGUGCCAGCAGCCGCGGUAAUACGUAGGUGGCAAGCGUUGUCCGGAAUUAUUGGGCGUAAAGAGCGCGUAGGCGGGAUAGUCAGUCUGUUGUAAAGUGCGGGGCUCAACCCCGUGAUCGCAAUGGAAACAGCUAUUCUUGAGUGCAGGAGAGGAAAGUGGAAUUCCCAGUGUAGCGGUGAAAUGCGUAGAUAUUGGGAGGAACACCAGUGGCGAAGGCGACUUUCUGGACUGUGUCUGACGCUGAGGCGCGAAAGCCAGGGGAGCGAACGGGAUUAGAUACCCCGGUAGUCCUGGCCGUAAACGAUGGGUACUAGGUAUGGGAGGUAUCGACCCCUUGCCGUGCCGGAGUUAACGCAAUAAGUACCCCGCCUGGGGAGUACGGUCGCAAGACUGAAACUUAAAUGAAUU